rnacentral:rRNA from 1 species
GGAGGUUGCGAGCGUUGUUCGGAAUUACUGGGCGUAAAGGGAGCGCAGGCGGCUUGGUCCGUCCAAAGUGAAAGCCCGGGGGGCUCAACCUCGGGAAGGGGCUUUGGAUACUGCCAAGCUUGAGUACGUGAGAGGAGAGCGGAAUUCCAGGUGUAGCGGUGAAAUGCAUAGAUAUCUGGAGGAACACCGGUGGCGAAAGCGGCUCUCUGGCGCGAUACUGACGCUGAGGCUCGAAAGCGUGGGGAGCGAACGGGAUUAGAUACCCCGGUAGUCCACGCCGUAAACGUUGUGCACUAGGUGUGGGAGGUAUCGACCCCUUCCGUGCCGCAGCUAACGCAUUAAGUGCACCGCCUGGGGAGUACGGUCGCAAAGACUGA